GAUGAACGCUGGCGGCGUGCCUAAUACAUGCAAGUCGAGCGAACAGACGAGGAGCUUGCUCCUCUGACGUUAGCGGCGGACGGGUGAGUAACACGUGGAUAACCUACCUAUAAGACUGGGAUAACUUCGGGAAACCGGAGCUAAUACCGGAUAAUAUAUUGAACCGCAUGGUUCAAUAGUGAAAGACGGUUUUGCUGUCACUUAUAGAUGGAUCCGCGCCGCAUUAGCUAGUUGGUAAGGUAACGGCUUACCAAGGCAACGAUGCGUAGCCGACCUGAGAGGUUGAGGGGCCCACUGGUAAUUCAGCCACGUACCACGCCCCAUAGGGGGGACUGAGUGGGUGAUCUGCCGGAUGGGGCGAAAGCCUGACGGGCGAACUCCGCGUAGGUUAUAAAGGUCCUCAAAUCUAAAACCUCUUUUUUAUGGGAAGAAAAAAUGUGUAAGUAACUUUGCACUUUUGGACGGUACCAAAUCAAAAAGCCACGGAUAACUGCGU
rnacentral:rRNA from 1 species